rnacentral:rRNA from 1 species
CCUACGGGAGGCAGCAGUGAGGAAUAUUGGUCAAUGGGCGGAAGCCUGAACCAGCCAAGUCGCGUGCAGGAAGACGGCCCUACGGGUUGUAAACUGCUUUUGUACGGGAACAACGCCCCUUACGUGUAGGUCUUUGCAUGUACCGGAUGAAAAAGGACCGGCUAAUUCCGUGCCAGCAGCCGCGGUAAUACGGAAGGUGCGGGCGUUAUCCGGAUUUAUUGGGUUUAAAGGGAGCGUAGGCGGCAUGUCAAGCGUACGGUGAAAUGUCCGGGCUCAACCCGGUCCUGGCCGGGCAAACUGGCGAGCUUGAGUGCGCGGAAAGCAGGCGGAAUUCGUCGUGGAGCGGUGAAAUGCAUAGAUAUGACGAAGAACCCCGAUUGCGAAGGCAGCUUGCUGCAGCGGAACUGACGCUGAUGCUCGAAAGCGCGGGUAUCGAACAGGAUUAGAUACCCGGGUAGUC